UGCUAUUUAAAUUGACCCAAAAAACGCUUUUUACAGGGGAAGACCGAACUGUAGCUUCCAAGUUCCAUUGAUAGCAAAACCUCCUUUGCUGAUCAGUUCACCAAAAUCUCAGACUGUAGAACCCAAAAGAACGCUAAAAUCAUUUUGGGUUUUCAAUUUCUAGUACUUGCCAGGUUAAUGAUGGCAAGCACCUCAGGACAAGGAUUUAGCCCUGAGAGAAACUACAGGUGUUGGCUAGAUGAAACUUUUUCCAGUCAUGAAACAGCUGAUGACGAGCUAUCAUAUACUCCUGAUGUAGAUAAUAAUUUGAUUGAAACAUCUAGCCAAGAUUUUUCUUUAACUUUGGAACCGGUUAUUGGGAUGGAAUUUGAAUCAGCAGAAGAUGCUAGAGAUUUUUAUGAGAUGUAUGGUAGGCAUAUGGGAUUUACAAUACAGAACAAUCGUACACGUCGUUCACUAAAAGAUAACGCAAUAAUUGGCCGGGAGUUGUUUGCUCAAAAGAAGGUUUCCGAGCAGAAAAAUAUGCAACGAGUCAAAACAGAGUUCUUCCAUCACGGCCAGCCACCAGAAAGGGAUGCAAUGCAAUGUUGAGGAUAACGGCAAAGGAUGGAGGCACGUGGGUUAUAUAUGGUUUUGUAAAAGAACAUAAUCAUGAGUUGAAUCCUAACAAAAUACCACCUCGACGAUCACAUAGGAUUGCAUUCUGCGAGGAUGAGAAGGACUUGAAAAUCCGGGAACUGUCCACGGAGCUACAUCGAGAGAAAAAGAAGUCUGCUGCUUAUCAAGAGAAGCUACAGAUUGUAUUGAAAUAUAUCGAGGAACAUACUCAGAGGUUAUCAUUGAAAGUUGAACUGGCAACUAACAAUAUGAGAGAACUUGAAUCUGAAGAGCAAGACAGUUCAUACUCAGACUAGAGUAUGUCAUUUGAUCUUCUCUCUGUUUGUGUUAAAUGUUGCCCAUGAUUUAUUAUUAGUUCUUUGACCAAACUUAAGUAAGAAAAAGGAGUGCAAAUCCUACCUAACAGUGCAUGCGAUAAAGUUUGUUUACCAGUUUGAAUCUCUACAGACGGCUGUUCACUGCCUCUACACUGCUCCCUUGUGCAAAAGUCAAACUGAAACGCCGCAGCAUGUUUUACUGUUGUGUAAGUGGACUGUGCUUUGUUUAGCAGGGUGUAGCCUCGCCUAAACCCAGUUAUAAAGUGAACAAAGCUAUUUCAAAGUUCUAUCUGGUUAUAGAAAUCGCUUUUCCAAUCUCUCGUAAAGAUACCACCACGCUUAGGUUAACCGAGGGGAAGUGGAGGAGGAGUAGAGGGAAAUUCUACUAUUAGCCGGCGCUUGCAAAGGCUACGCUCAAGAUCUUGUUCUACAAUUUUUCAUUUUUGCUCCAAUGCAUAUGACCCAAAUGGUUGGCCCAAACUCAAAUUUUUGUUUAACAAUUUCUUUUUUA